rnacentral:lncRNA from 1 species
GACAAAAACAGCACCAAGACAUGGCACAUAGGAGCGAGCUCAUUGCUCAGAGCCUUGGACUGCCAUUAUCAUCAGCAACAUCAUGGAAUCCAUUGCAACUAUCCAGAGUGAGGCAACUUAACAAGACACCACCAAGGCUAGCACCUCAAUUGGGUUGUCGACCAACACAAGCGCUCAAGUAUGAUGGGCCUGCUAGCCUUAUGUGCUUGCGAACCCAUUGGCCAGCAUGCGCACCCUCAAAACUUUGAUUUUUGCUUAAACAUAUUUCAUUUGGUUUCCUUUAUUUGUCAAAGGGUGCAGCUAAUGAUCUACUAGAAGAGGCUGAAGGAGCAUAGGAUUUGCUUUAAAGAUCCAAUUGUCUCUAUUGCAGUAUCAUCAUGUUUAUAGUAAAUUAAGAAUAAAUUAUGGCUUAUCUUAGUGGCAACUAUUUUCCUAUUUACAGAUUUUAUUCAGUUUCAAGUAGCUGACAUAGUAGACCCUUCAAAAGUGGGACAAAACAUGGACUAAUCAUUAUUUGAAUUUUUUGUUCUCCCUUUCAUCUUCUCUUUCCGUUGUCCUCCUCUCUCUCUUUAAAGUCAUACUUAUCAUAAGCUAGUUUGUUUCUAAUUUUUCUCUUUUGUCCAAACCAAUGAUUUAAAAAGUGCUAGGCGCCAAAAGACGUCAAUGACCCAAAAUGCCCGAGGCGCUAUGCGCUCGCCUGAGCGAAGCAAGAUGCUCUAAAAUAUUAAAAUAUAUUUUAAUAUUUUAAAAUAUUCUCUACUGUUAACGGUAGUAGAGAAGAGUAGAGUGUGAGAAGGAGACCGAGGUAAGAAGCCGAGUCACGGUGAGAACUGAGUCGCAGACAGGAAGCUAUUGUCUGAGAGCAACGACAACGAGCGGUAGCAAAGAGUAACGGCAACGACAGCGAGCAAUAACGAAGAAUACCGACAACAACAGCGGAGAGCAGCGACAGUGGCAACGGCAACGGAGAGAGGCAGCGAUAGCGGAGAGAGAUAGCUAUAGUGGCAGCGAUAGUGAAGAGCAAUGGCAGCGGCAACGAAGAGCAACAGCAGUAGCGGUAGCGGAGAGAGGCAACGACAGCGACAGUAGAGGCAACGGAAUCGAGUGUACGGUUAGGGGAAGUUGCGAGGAGUGGGAGGCUGAUAUGCGUGUGUUAGUUGGUUCAAUCGAACCAACUAAUCGGGAGCUCGCUGCCGCUGCUACGGUCGGUCCCCUGGUUUAUACUAGGCACUCGCUCGAAGCGCCUGGUGCCUGGGCUCGGGCGAGCGCUUAGGCAAGUGCCCGAGCGCCUUUUUAAAUCAUUGGUCUAAACUAGCUCCUAUCGUAUAAUAAGUUGGAGGCUUCAACUUUGGACCAUGUGAGAAAAGUAUUGAAAUGAUCUAAAACCAAUUAUAACAUUAACACUCGGUGCUUGUGUCCUACCCUAAGCCGCAAGGCUCAAGCGCCUUUAAUUCAUCCUAGGCGAGAGAUUUUGCACAAGUGUCACUUUGACAUGCACCUAGGCGCAUACAUGGCAUGUGCUUGAAACCAUAUCACCUCUGCCCUGGAGCCCGCACAACACCUCUAUUAGCAACCCUAGUCAUCUUGCAAUUGUUAUCCUUUGGUGAUCAACAACACAUGACAAUGUUGACAACAAUGGAUAACCAAAACGAUGAUCAACAACCAACAUGGCUGUGCCUCCCCUCUCGCAAUUGACAACAUGCAACAGUACCUCCCUCCUUCCAUCGUAGGUACCUCUCACUCUCUUAGCUCUCUCCCUCAACCCUUCUUCGAUCACUUUCUCUCAAUUGGGUGAUACAACCCCGCAUUCGUCUACCUACUAGUCAUGAUAGUACAAUAUCACCUCUCAGUGAUUUAAAAAGCGCUAGGCGCCAAGAUCCAAAAAUGCCCGAGGCGCUAAGCGC